rnacentral:tRNA from 1 species
GGAUUGUGGCUCAGCGGUAGAGCGCUCACCUAGCACAGGAGAGGCCCUGGGUUCAAUCCUCAGCACCA